GAGUGAAUGGGGCAGCAAAGAAUGGAUGAUGACAACCUCCCCUCAUGCCCCCCGGCUCCAUCUACAACAUGCACAGAUCAGUUGUAAGGACUUCAGAAUGACCGCAUGAGAGCAAUGAGCCAGGCGGGACCCUGUCUGAGCAGUGGUUGCUGAGCAACCACAUACACAGGAAGUCCACCCUGGCCCUACUGGAAACCCCUGCGUAGUCCCUCAGGAGGAUGUCACUGCUCGCAGGCACAUUUCCUCUCCCUCCUGGAAUGGAAUCACCAUCAUUAUCAAGAAGCAUUUUGUUUUGCACACUACCCCUGUUUUCUAUCUGUGCCACUGGAUGUGUGCCUCACUGAUGAAAUUCACAACAGAAAUGCUUUGGGGGUCACUGGUACUGACUCACUGAGACCUCACAGCUAUAUUAUGAAAAGAUUCACCUUGCCCCACAUUAAUGAAGCCAGCCUCGGAGGCACCUGGGAAAUAAAUG